rnacentral:lncRNA from 1 species
GUAUUCCUCAAAGGUACAGGUUUUCAGGGGUUUCAUAGAUAGUUGCAGACAGGGAUGUAUGAAGGGAGAGGUACAUUUUGGCAGAAGAAAGGUCUUAAGAACUGUUUCCUGCAUCUGUAUUGUUAAGCAAGACUCUCCAGCCCAGCUCUUUGUGAUACCUUUCAUUCACAAGGGCCAAAUUCAUUCUUCUGGUCACAGCAUGGUAAACCCGGAGAAACCUGGCAGUUAUUGGCAUGUUUCCAUACAGCCUCUUCUACGCUGUCUCGGUGGAGGAUCCAUGACCUCGAGACAAGGCCAGCUGGGGACAAUGUGGCCAAAUGAUAAAAGGACUGGCUCGAUUUAGUGACCCCAAAAAGUAUGAAUGUUUUUAAUACGAAAAUAACAAACAUAUAAUCCAAAUGGCAUAAGGGGUGCACUAAAAAGGUGAGGGUCAGAGUGAUAAAAUAAUUCAUAUAAGCUACAGCCAGGGAGGAGUCUGAGGGUAAGGGUCCAGUAGGGAAGGGUGAUUAGGAAUAUGUAAAAUAAUGCACCAAACAUAAACCAAUAACAAUAAGGGAAACAACUUUCUGUCAACAUUUACAUAAAACUGAACAAGGGAUAGUGUGGGUAAUACUUUCUUCUCCAUAACUAGGAGGGUUUUUCCCAUGGCCUUCUGCCUGGGUUUCUAUUAACCCCAACACUACACUAUCUCAGAGAAUUUGGUUUACAAGGAAAGGAAAAGAAACAAAUGUGACUUCAGCAUCAUUUUUCACUUUCUAAACUGUUUCUUUUUAUUACAUGAUAUAAUGUGGGACCACAAGGUGAUUUAUAGCCCACCAAGAAGUGCCUCCAGUUACUGGCACUGUACAGCAAGAGAUGAUUGUGUCAGUAUCAUGGUGCUCUGGCUCCACAUUCAUUGCAAGGACUUGGAUUAAGAAAUAUAUCAGCUGUUGAAGCUAGAUGCAAAGCACUGAUAGCUUUAUGCUGUUGGCCCUCUUAUCUUAUGCCAUGAGUCUUUCUCUCUUGUUCGUCUCAUCUUUCUGCAGUAAUUGGAAGGCUGAAGUGGAGCACUCAGAUGGUUUUGGUAAUAAAUCUCACAUUAUUAACCUCA